rnacentral:tRNA from 1 species
ACUUUUCUAGUGUAAGGAACACAUUGGUUUUUCAUGCCAAAGUUGGCUGUUUUGCCGAAAGGUCCC